UACGGGGGGGGCAAGCGUUGUUCGGAAUUACUGGGCGUAAAGGGCUCGUAGGUGGCCAACUAAGUCACACGUGAAAUCCCUCGGCUUAACCGGGGAACUGCGUGUGAUACUGGAUGGCUUGAGUUUGGGAGAGGGAUGCGGAAUUCCAGGUGUAGCGGUGAAAUGCGUAGAUAUCUGGAGGAACACCGGUGGCGAAGGCGGCAUCCUGGACCAAUACUGACGCUGAGGAGCGAAAGCCAGGGGAGCGAACAGG
rnacentral:rRNA from 1 species